CUGUGAUAAAGGCAAACCGGUCGAAAGGCCGGGACGCAAAGCCUCCGGUCUAAGGGCAUCGCCUAAGAUAGCGGGGAUACCAUA
rnacentral:ncRNA from 1 species